rnacentral:rRNA from 1 species
AUUGAACGCUGGCGGCAUGCCUUACACAUGCAAGUCGAACGGCAGCACGGGAGCAAUCCUGGUGGCGAGUGGCGAACGGGUGAGUAAUAUAUCGGAACGUGCCCGGUCGUGGGGGAUAACGUAGCGAAAGCUACGCUAAUACCGCAUACGAUCUACGGAUGAAAGCGGGGGAUCGCAAGACCUCGCGCGAUUGGAGCGGCCGAUAUCAGAUUAGGUAGUUGGUGAGGUAAAGGCUCACCAAGCCGACGAUCUGUAGCUGGUCUGAGAGGACGACCAGCCACACUGGGACUGAGACACGGCCCAGACUCCUACGGGAGGCAGCAGUGGGGAAUUUUGGACAAUGGCGCAAGCCUGAUCCAGCAAUGCCGCGUGCAGGAUGAAGGCCUUCGGUUGGUUAAACUAGCUUUGUUACGGUAACGGAAACGGUACGG